CUGAUUGCUCACUAGAACACCUGAGGUUGACCUAGCGGCCUCAAGAUACUUAGAAGUACAUUCCUCAAAGAACAUUACUGCAGUCAUAAAACCUGUUCAUAUUUUUAAAAGCAACAAAGAAGGUUGGGGAAGCAGAAGGAUGAGGAGCCAGGCCUGAAGGGACUGUUAAAGAGUGAUAUAUGUACCCUGGGAAAGUCUAGCAAGCAUUACCAGUGUGUGUGUGUG
rnacentral:lncRNA from 1 species